UACGUAGGGUGCGAGCGUUGUCCGGAAUUACUGGGCGUAAAGAGCUCGUAGGUGGUUUGUCGCGUUGUCCGUGAAAACUCACAACUCAAUUGUGGGCGUGCGGGCGAUACGGGCAGUCUGGAGUACUGCAGGGGAGACUGGAAUUCCUGGUGUAGCGGUGGAAUGCGCAGAUAUCAGGAGGAACACCGGUGGCGAAGGCGGGUCUCUGGGCAGUAACUGACGCUGAGGAGCGAAAGCGUGGGGAGCGAACAGG
rnacentral:rRNA from 1 species